UGUACAUACACGUGUGUGUGUGUUGUCUUAUCUUAAAGAAACACAACCUUUGGAGUUUAGUUUUUGCACUAUUAAAAUAUUUAAAAUAUUUUGAGUUUUGCAGAUUAGCAAGAUAAAUAUGCCUGGACUCUAGGACAAGAGUAUUCAAAUACUGAACUCCCAACAAUUCGAAUACUAUAGACCCCUUGAAUCUUUGCCAAUUGCAAAGCAGUUUGCCAAAUAAUAUUAGUGAG